rnacentral:rRNA from 1 species
AUUGAACGCUGGCGGCAUGCCUAACACAUGCAAGUCGAACGGGGUAGCAAUACCCAGUGGCGGACGGGUGAGGAAUACAUAGGAAUUUGCCUUUAGGUGGGGGAUAGCCCGGGGAAACUCGGAGUAAUACCGCAUGAUGUCGAAAGACCAAAGUAGGGGAUCGCAAGACCUUGCGCCUUUAGAGAAGCCUAUGUCUGAUUAGCUAGUUGGUAGGGUAAUGGCCUACCAAGGCGACGANCAGUAACUGGUCUGAGAGGACGAUCAGUCACACCGGAACUGAGACACGGUCCGGACUCCUACGGGAGGCAGCAGUGGGGAAUAUUGGACAAUGGGCGAAAGCCUGAUCCAGCAAUGCCGCGUGUGUGAAGAAGGCCUGGUUGUAAG